rnacentral:rRNA from 1 species
AAAAACCCAGGUGGUGUGAGAUGGAUCCGCGUCUGAUUAGCCAGUUGGCGGGGUAACGGCCCACCAAAGCGACGAUCAGUAGCCGACCUGAGAGGGUGACCGGCCACAUUGGGACUGAGACACGGCCCAAACUCCUACGGGAGGCAGCAGUGGGGAAUAUUGCACAAUGGGCGCAAGCCUGAUGCAGCGACGCCGCGUGAGUGAAGAAGUAUCUCGGUAUGUAAAGCUCUAUCAGCAGGGAAGAAAAUGACGGUACCUGACUAAGAAGCCCCGGCUAACUACGUGCCAGCAGCCGCGGUAAUACGUAGGGGGCAAGCGUUAUCCGGAUUUACUGGGUGUAAAGGGAGCGUAGACGGCGACGCAAGUCUGGAGUGAAAGCCCGGGGCCCAACCCCGGGACUGCUUUGGAAACUGUGCUGCUGGAGUGCAGGAGAGGUAAGUGGAAUUCCUAGUGUAGCGGUGAAAUGCGUAGAUAUUAGGAGGAACACCAGUGGCGAAGGCGGCUUACUGGACUGUAACUGACGUUGAGGCUCGAAAGCGUGGGGAGCAAACAGGAUUAGAUACCCUGGUAGUCCACGC